GCGAGAAUAUGCCAAGUGAUUCAGCAGAGGGAUAAAACAGGUGCUGAGAGAAGACAGACGAAAAAGUGCAUUCGGACUGGGGAUAUCAGGAACUUCACAGCCACUUUUGCAGGCUCCUCGUCUUCCAGUAAAUCCUCUGGUGGCCUCUGGUCCCAUCCUUGGAGACAUCCUGGAAGACAUCCCCAGUCACCUCUGCACUCUCCCCAGAUCAUCUGGUGCAACAGCCUGGCUUCUAUGUUAAUAACUCAACACUGGACUCCAUGCAUGCACCUCCCUACUCAGUUUCCAACCUGUGAACACUGCAAGCCAGCCCCACCUGGACUCUUUAAAUUCAACACGUUCCAAAUUCACUUGUCAUCAUUCAACAUGUUCAAAAUUGACUCGUCUUCUCAUCUGCACAUCGGCUCUGCCUCCUGUUCUUUUCUACGUUGGUGAGAAAAGAACUGUUGCUCAAAGCAGAAGUGGGAGCUGUCUGAAUGGCCUCAGUGCUCUGCACACGCUGGGGAAGUCAUUGCAGCACCUUCGGAAUCUCGCUUGUCUCCACCAUCUGCCUUCCUGUUAAUCUGGUUGCUCCCUCUCACUGACCCAGUUACUGUGUUUCUUGUCAUUUCUGAUGAACACUACGCUGGGUUCCUAGUCCCUGGGUAACACAAAUUCAAGUGUUCAGGAAAUGUGAUUUUUCCCUGCCCUCUAUAACUAAAGUUAAAUUCAAUCUAUGUCAAUUCCAUGUAACCUCCCUUAUUCCAGCCUCCCUGUCCCCUACCCACCCGCCUCAACUUUCCAUGAGAGAAGAGUAUGUAGAGAGAGCACCCACUCAGGGAGCUCUGGGCAUAUGUGGUCUCUCCCUAUCCCAGGCAGGGUGUAGAGAAAUUCCAUGAUGCUAUCCUGCCUGUCUAGAGGCCCAUGCAGCCAUCUCUCACUGCCCCACCCCUCUCCAUGCUAAAUAGAGGGAAAAUCUGCAUGGCUUGCCCCCUGUCUGGGCUUCACCUUGAACGCAAGCCUCAAGGGCCCCCUGCUCCUGGAUUGCCCCUGUCUCUCCAGGGACCCAUCUUGAGGCCUCAGCCUGGGGCCAGAAGGGGAGGUAUCUGGGCAGUCAGAGAGCACAGCUGCUUCUGAGAACACAACUCCCAAAACCCAUUAGUACCCUUUCCAACUCUCUCUUCGAGCCCAAGUAUUCCUAACUAC
rnacentral:lncRNA from 10 species